AACUAAAGCCGAAGCUCCCCUCAACCGUUAUACGCAUUCGGAGGAGCGAAGUUCUACUACGAAAGUGGCUUUAUCCAACCUGAACCCACGACAGCUAAGGAACAAACUGGGAUUAGAUACCCCACUAUGCUUAGCCUCAAACUAUGAUGCUAAGGUACAACUAGCAUCCGCCAGGGAACUACAAGCACUAGCUUCAAACCCAAAGGACUUGGCGGUACCUCAGACCCCCCUAGAGGAGCCUGUUCUAGAACCGACAAUCCCCGUUCAACCUCACCACCUCUUGUUUUCCCUGUCUAUAUACCGCCGUCGUCAGCUUACCCUGUGAAGGGUCCUAUAGUAAGCACAAUGGAUAAAUUCCAGAACGUCAGGUCGAGGUGUAGCGUAUGGGGUGGAAAGAAAUGGGCUACAUUUCCUAAGAUAGGACACUACCAAUAAUGCUGUGAAAUCAGUGCUUGAAGGUGGAUUUAGCAGUAAGAAAGAACCAGAGAGUCUUUCUGAAGCCGGCUCUGAGGUGCGUACACACCGCCCGUCACCCUCCCCGAGUUCAUCGUGCCCGCUAAUUAAGAAGUGAGUCAAACAAAGGGGAGGCAAGUCGUAA
rnacentral:rRNA from 1 species